AAGAGAAAGAUGAUACAUAAGAAAGCUGCUAACUAUUCUUAUUAAUGGUUAAAAUCCAUUAUUCUCUUA
rnacentral:tRNA from 1 species